rnacentral:rRNA from 1 species
GCCCCCAACAGCUAGCCCACCCAAAAAAUUCAACAAACAACAUCAAUUAACCCAACAACCACUUCAACCCAAAAACAAACCAUUUUUCCACCCGAGUAUGGGAGACAGAAAGGGACCCCCAGGCGCAAUAGAAAAAGUACCGCAAGGGAACGCUGAAAGAGCACUGAAACAACUCAGUGAAGGAAACAAAAGCAGAGAUUUAGCCUCGUACCUUUUGCAUCAUGAUUUAGCGAGCAUCCCUCAAGCAAAGAGCCCUUUAUGUUUGAGACCCCGAAACUAAGCGAGCUACUCCAAGACAGCCCAUUAUGGGGCCAACCCAUCUCUGUGGCAAAAGAGUGGGAAGAGCUUUGAGUAGAGGUGACAGACCUACCGAGCUUAGUUAUAGCUGGUUGCCUGAGAACUGAAUAGAAGUUCAGCCUUUUAAAUUCUUUAACCUAACUGGGUCACACCUUGAUCUGGCCAAAAGACAAUUAAAAGAGUUAUUCACUGGAGGGACAGCUCUCUUGAAUAAAGAUACAACUUUUGUAGAAGGCAAUAGACCAAAAGAAUCAAGGAGACAUACCUAAGUGGGCCUAAAAGCAGCCAUCCUUAAAGAAAGCGUUAAAGCUCAAGUAUAUAAACCCAAAAAUUCCGACAGAAACAUCUUAUACCUCUUAACCUAUCAGGCCCAUCCAUGCAACCAUGGAUAAGACAAUGCUAAAAUGAGUAAUAAGGGGGCCAAGGCUCCCUCAAAUGCACCCGUGUACAUCAUAACGAACCCCCAAUGAAAAUUAACGCCCCCAACACCCAGAGGGUAAUGAGCCCACAAGCCUUAUGAACAAGAAGACUCCCCAACUUCUUAAGCGUUAGUCCCACACAGGAGUGCCCCAUGAAAGACAAAAAGGAAAAGAAGGAACUCGGCAAACACUGGCCUCGCCUGUUUACCAAAAACAUCGCCUCUUGCCCCUUAAAUAUAAGAGGUCCCGCCUGCCCUGUGACCAAAAGUUUAACGGCCGCGGUAUUUUGACCGUGCGAAGGUAGCGUAAUCACUUGUCUUUUAAAUAAAGACCUGUAUGAAUGGCAUAACGAGGGCUAAGCUGUCUCCUUUACCCAGUCAAUGAAAUUGAUCUGCCCGUGCAGAAGCGGGCAUAACCACAUAAGACGAGAAGACCCUAUGGAGCUUAAGACACCAGGACAGCCCACGUUAAACCCCCUCACUUACGAGAAAUAAACCAAAUGGUCCCUGUCCCCCUGUCUUUGGUUGGGGCGACCGCGGAGAAACAUAAAACCCCCACGUGGAACGGGCCUACCCCCCUAAAGCCAGAGCCACAGCUCUAACAAACAGAAGAUCUGACCAACAAGAUCCGGUAACACCGAUCAACGGACCCAGUUACCCUAGGGAUAACAGCGCAAUCCCCUUCUAGAGCCCAUAUCGACAAGGGGGUUUACGACCUCGAUGUUGGAUCAGGACCUCCUAAUGGUGCAGCCGCUAUUAAGGGUUCGUUUGUUCAACGAUUAAAGUCCUACGUGAUCUGAGUUCAGACCGGAGAAAUCCAGGUCAGUUUCUAUCUAUGAAGUAACUCUUUCCUAGUACGAAAGGACCGGAAAGAGGGGGCCCAUGCUGCAAGCAAGCCCCACCCUAACCUAAUGACGCCCUCUAAAGAAGGCAAAAGGGCUUACCCCCUCCCCGCCUGAGAAAAAGGCAA